GGGAAAACCCUAAUCCCCAAAUCCUUUGUUCGUGAACCAUCAGCCCCCCUCGUGUUCUUCUUCUUCUUCUUCGAAUACCAGUGCCCCUCACCUCCCGACGCUGGCGAUCUUUCCCACCGCGACACGUCCCCAACUCCGGCGACUAGUAGCGGCGGCGCACGAGGCGGCUCUUGGCAGCGGGCGAUGAUUCUGCUGCAGGUGGUGCGGGUUUUGGGGCGUUGGUCCGGCGGCGGUGUCUCGCGGUGGUCGGCGACCUCGGGUGUUUCUUUUCCACUGCACAGAGCGACGUCGCUCCCUUCGGUGCGUUUUCUUUGUGGCAACCACGCGUACAACAUUGUUUGUGACGUUCCGCAUCUACCCAUAAUCGCUCGAAGCCCGUUUUACACAACCCAUGCCUAUUUGAGUUAGAUUCAAACUACCCACACCUAAACGAGGUGUUGAAUCGACGCAAGAUUUAGGAGCGUAGCAGUGUGUGUAAAUAGGGCCCUCGACCGUGGAGGAGGCUUGACCAAGAAGGGACCACUAGCUGCGUUUUUGUCUAGAAUAGCUAAAAUUGUAGUUUCAUUGCUAGGAACGUUAGAGACUUGUUGUUGGGGUGUACUAGACAUUGGUUUGACUCACAGAACGUUUUUUUUUCUAUUUCUUCUUCUUGGGCGAACUAUUGUUUUGCUGUUAUUAUUAUUACUCGAGUCUCUGGUGUACUUUGGGUUGCUAGACCAAAUGAUUGUUUUUUUUUUUGUUUUUAUUUGGAUUUCUAGCCACUGAGGCAGACAUGCAUUUUUAGGAAUUGGUUGUGGUAUGAACCCCACGGUUGUUCUUAAAAAUAAUUGUUUCAUGUCUUUUUGUUGGAGAGGGGCUGAACAGGGGAGGUGAUAGCAUUACCUCAAUAUUUCAUGUCGAAAUUUUGGGGACAUUACACUUUAUGUUACCCUUAGUGGAAAGGGGUGAAUAGGUAAUAUGGUGAUGUUACCCCAUUCUUUGUAGUGAAAUUCGGGGGCGUUACAGUUUGUAUCAGAGCGGAACCUCUCCCAGUAAGAUGUGGUUCGGGCACAAACUAAGGCAGAAGCUGGUGGGCAUGUGACACUCGACUAGAGAGGAGGGGUACAUGAAUGAACCGAUAUCACAUUCGAAUGAGAGGGAUCCUGAGAUCAUGGAAGAAUGGUCAAGAAAGGCUUAAAAGAAUUGAUAGUCACUACCUAUACAAACAAGAUGCACCUUCAUUUUCGGUGGCUCAAUCAUAAGAACUUAAAAGUUAAGCGUGCUUGACUUUGAGCAAUCUUGGGUUAGGUGACCUCUUAGUUGUUUUACUAGGAAGCAUGUAAGUGUGGACAAAGCAUGUUGCAAUGUAACGUCCCGCGUUCUCGGGUAUGUUUUUUUUAAGAUAUCAUUAGUGCCUUUGGAUUUUUUUUGCCCGAAA